rnacentral:rRNA from 1 species
AUGUUGGCUAAACAAGCUUGGCGUCUCCUUGAGAACCCAGAUUCCUUGUGUGCCACCAUUUUGCGAGCUAAGUAUUUCCCUGGCGGAGAUUUAUUGAACACAAACUUAAAAAAGGGAUCAUCCUUCACAUGGCAAAGUAUUAUGGCGGGCGUCAAUACCUUAAAACAUGGGUAUAUUUGGGUUGGAAAUGGUCAGAAAAUUGACAUUUGGGAAGAUGCUUGGUUUCCUAACUGUGCUAAUAGAAAAUUCAUCACUCCUAAGGGGCAAUAUUUGUUAUCAAAAGUGUCGGAUUUCAUUGACCCCUCCUCGAACAGGUGGGAUGAGGAUCUCAUCAGACAAACCUUGUGGACCGUUGAUUCACAAUGGGUCCUUGCUAUCCCUCUGCCUCAGUUUGAUAUGUCAGAUUUUGUUGCCUGGAGUCAUACUAAGAGUGGGAUUUUUUCUGUUUGAUCUGCAUAUUUUGUUGAGUGGGAUUAUCAACAUGGAAGGAAAUUGUGGCAUACUAAUGGAAUGGGUUGAACAAACUUUAAUCCAAUUUGGUGUAAGAUUUGGAAGUUAUCUUGUCCAGCAAAGGUGAAAUUUUUUAUUUGGCGGGCGUUGCAUGGUACUCUUCCAUGUCGUGUUACGCUUGCUAAUAGACACAUGAAAGUUUCACCUUUAUGCCCUUUUUGUGCUUCUGGUUUAGAAGACACAAAGCAUCUGUUGUUUCAGUGCCAGAAGGCAAAAGAGGUCUUGAGAAGGCUUGGCUUAGACGAGAUCAUU